rnacentral:lncRNA from 1 species
AAAAUAAAUAAAAAAAUAAAAAUAUUCGUUUUGGAGCGCCGUGGCAAAACACGGGAAAAUAAACGUACAAACGGAAGCAUUUCCGGUCAAAAAGGGCGCAUGCACUUGCCUUUUUUUGACCCUGGACAAAUUUUGCUCAGAAGCACCCGCGGCUAGCGAAACGUGUUUGGAUUUCUAUUUCAUAAAACAGUCGGACUAAAAAGAUGGACUCAAGAAUAUAAAGCUAAAGAUGGUAACUAAAGUGCCGAAGCCUGAAGGCGACCUGGUGG